rnacentral:lncRNA from 1 species
CUUAAGGACAUUGGAUUCUGAAAGACUGGAUGGGGAGUACUCCAUUUGCCAAGGCUGUCUUAUGAAGAGUUUGGACGUGUACUUGUAAUGUGUACCUGAUGAAGAACAUCUUGAGGAAAACACUCACCUGCUUGUGGCUCCUUGUGCUCUGAUUAAGUUGUUAGAGUUCCACUGGACUGUCUUCCCAGUGACAUGGAAAGCAUGUGUGUCUUGGAGCAGAGAAGCAAUACUGACAGCUUGGAAGAUCGCUACUGCGGAGCCAACAUGAUAAAUCAAGAUGUGAACUCUUAGCUGUUCCUGCAACCAUGCCUUCACUUCACCAUCAUAGACCUAAUCCUCUGAAACCAUAAACCUAAUUAAACAAUUAAAUGCUUUCCUUUAUAUGUUGACUUGAUCAUGGUGUUUGUCAGAAGUAGAAAAGUGACUAAGACAAUAGUCAAAUACAUUAUUUUUGUGAGCCAAUAAUUUUAUAUUAUUAUACAAAGAUUCAAGCCAGAGAGAAGUAAUUAAUUCACUUUAAGUAAAUAUUCUCCUCAAUAAUCUGAGUUGGACUCAUCCAAUGACUGAAAAGGACCUAAAGGAAAAACGAAACUUAUCUUAAUAGAAGACAUUUGCUGAGAACUAGAGUGUCAGCUCCCAUUCAAAGAUUUUCAGCAUCUUUGGUUGUCCCUACAGUCACAUAAGACGAUCUUUUAAAACAAAAUUUAUUAUCACACCGAAACUAUUCUGUUUUCCUUUAUAGAACUGACAUGGAUUUUUUUUAAUAUGAGGGAGCAAAAUUCUGCUAUAAUAGACACAAAUCUUUAGGAGUAGCUUUUGAAUUGGGUAACAGGAACAGGCGCGAUAGGAAAAUCUGAUGUUGAGCUUUCAUAGUACUGGAAUGUGUCAUUGAGUUGCUAGGAGCAGAGAGGAGGCAUCAUCAGCUUAACCCAGCUCUGAACUCUGUGAAUUACAAUAAUGAUUAGUUUGGAAAGAUAUGCACAUGGGUACAAUAGCUGCAUGAACUCCUAGAAC